rnacentral:tRNA from 1 species
GGAGGUCUGACUCAGUAGUAGAGCAUCUUUCUGGCAAGGGUGAGAACCUGGGUUCAAACUCCAGGACUUUCA